UACAGAGGUCUCAAGCGUUUGUUCGGAUUCAUUGGGCGUAAAGGGUGCGUAGGUGGCGCGCUAAGUCAGGUGUGAAAUUUCGGAGCUUAACUCCGAAACUGCAUUUGAUACUGGCGUGCUUGAGGACUGGAGAGGAGAGACUGGAAGUUCACGGUGUAGCAGUGAAAUGCGUAGAGAUCGUGAGGAAGACCAGUGGCGAAGGCGGGUCUCUGGACAGUUCCUGACACUGAGGCAGCGAAGGCCAGGGGGAGCAAAACGGGG
rnacentral:rRNA from 1 species